rnacentral:lncRNA from 1 species
CUUAUACGUAGCUUAGCAAUCUGCAAGUAUGCUAAUAAUGGUCUGACAGCAAUAUUUCCAGUUCAUUAGUAUGAAUUUGGUAAACAAGAUAUACUGUAUUUAAUCUCAGGCCGAUCAAUUUGGUAAAACUAGUCUAAUAUAACUAGAUAUGGAUCAAGGAACUUUCUUCUAACCAUGUCUUUUUGUUGAACUAAAAAUCUACAUAAACAAAUAUGAAUCCAGUUCAUAGCAUUAAAGAAAAAUUAUCGUCUGAACGCUGGAUGCGGCUAUUUUCUCAAAAACUCACUAGAUAUUAGAAGUAAUGUUUUCUUAAUGUAUUGCUAAACAAUGCAGAUAAAUAAUAAGCAUUUUAAGGAAAGAGAGAAUCCAAGAGGCACCUGCUCAAGUUGCUGAUUGAGACCAGCCAUUUGCUUCAGCUUUUAGCAAGUGAAGCUUUGAGCUUUUUUUUUUUAACUUUUUCAGUUUUAGUGUUAAGGAUUUGCUCACAGUAUUCCCAUUGGUGCUGAAUAAGAGCUCCAAUUACCAGGAAACAGCCAUCCCAAUGAAGAAAAGGUAAAGGUGAAGGUACCAAUCUAAGAAAACAUUUCAGAUCAAGAUUGAUUCAUCAGAUCGUAAGAUCAGAUCCAAAAAUAAAGUGGCAGUGCGUAAAUCUGCAGAAAAGCCCUCACCGACCAUUUCCUUAGGAACAAGUGUUGCCUUAGAAGUAUAGCUGUUUCGAAGAAACCCCUGGAUCAUUAUCUCCCAUGCUCCUAAACAACAGGUAUGCUUCAUCUGGCAAUCCCUCCUUGCAAAAUCCAUUAAUCAUUAUAGAAUGUGUAAACACCAAGCUUCAAACCAUUGACAGAGAGUUUAUGAAAUAAUUCCUUUCCAACUUCAAUAUACCCAGAUUUGCAUAAGCCAUCAAUUAGGAUAUUAUAACAGACAAUAUCAAGUUCCAACUUGCUGUUCCGCAUUGCUUGAAAAACUUCCAAAGCCUCUUCGAGUUUAUCACAUUUGCAUAAACCAUUCGACAAAAAUGAACAGGUCACUACAUUUGGAACUUGUCCAAAAGCAAUCAUCUUCAUCAAAAGUUCACAUGUAGAUGAAAUUUUCCCUAGUUUACACAUACCUUGCAUAAGAGUGUUGUGCGUGACAAUAUCCAGGAUUGGUCCUUUUUGGGAUAUUUCAUGAAAGAGUUCCAUUUCUUCGUCUAUCCUUUUAGCUUCGCAAUAUCCAUUGAUCAUGAUGUUGUAACUAAAUAUAUCAGGUGCACAACCCUUCUUAAUCAUCAACUGAAAUACCUUUCUAGCUUUAUACAUCUUGUUUUGCAAGCAAUGACAGUUUAUUAAUGCACUAUAGGUAACAACAUUAGGCUCAAUGUUAUGCUUUAUUAUUGCGUCAACAAUAUCUUCAGCUUCAGAAACCAUUCCUUCCCUGCAAGGCGCAUCAACCAAUAUAUUAUAUGUAACAACAUCGGGCUCAAUGCCUUGCUUUAUCAUUGUGCCAACAUCAUCUUUAGCUUCAGAAACCAUUCCUUCCCUACAAUGCACAUCAACCAAUAUAAUAUACGUAACAACAUCAGGCUCAAUGCCUUGCUUUUUCAUUGUGUCAACGGUAUCUAUUACUUCAAAAAUCUUCCCAUCCUUGUAAUGUGCAUCGAUCAAUAUAUUAUAUGAAACGAUAUCUGGUCUAAUGCCCUUAACCUUCACUUGGGAGAAAAGAUGGAGAGUCUCAUUUAGUGAUCCCUUCUUACAAAGACCGUCAAUGACAGUGCUAUAUGUUACAAUAUUGGGUUUGAAGCCACUUUAUUCCAUAAUCCUUAGAAGCCUGACAGCUCUAUCAGUAUUCCCGAUUUUACACUAUUGUACUGUAAACAAUUAAAUUAGGUUGAUACCCAUCCAUUAAUCAAAGCGGAUAAAGUUACAACAUAAGGCUCAACACCUAACUUCAGCAUGUUCCCCAAAACAGGAAAACCAAGAUCAAUUUGACCUAAUUGACAAAAGCAGUUAACCAAGAUGCUCAGAGAAUAAACAUCCCAGUAAACUCCUAAUAAUUCCAUCUGGCUACACAUCGAUACAGUAAUGGCAUAAUGUUUCAUUCUAACAAUGGCAGCUAAUAAUUUAGUGAAUUCCACAAUUGAUGGCUUUGGGUAACUCUGAAUCAUCUUAUUAAACAAAUUAAAAGCAUCAUCAACAUUAUCAAAGCGAUAAUACAUUUUUUGGGUUUCCCCUUACAUACAUGGAAUUCUUAGUGAAAGGUUGGAUGUGGGUAGCAAUGGUAUUAGAAGAAGAAGAAGAAGAAGAAGAAGAAAUAAAAGAGCAGAAAAAAAGAAAUAUGCUUUCCACAGUUAACAAUAGAAGGAAGAAGUAAUGAAGAAUGAAGCUUACCCAUAUAUUGAAAUUAAGAGAAAUGGAAAAGCAAGAGAAGUGAGGUUGAAAUAAAAGCAGAAGCGGUGGCGGCACUACUAGAAGAAUGUACUGAAAUAAGGUUUUAAAUAUCCCACAAAGGUAGAGUUUGUACCUUAAUAAAGAGGAAUUGGUUUUGACCAUCUUCAAGCUAUGGGUUUGUAUCAAUAUACCAUCAUAGCCAAUGAGAGCGGAUUCAU